UCUCUCUGAAUCUGCGAACGGCUCCGCAAACCAGUUGUAAACUAUAGCAAGCAAGCUCAGGGCCGGCUCUCACGGGCUGGCUCUGGGCGAUAUGGAUAACCCUGGUAAUUCUGAGGCUAAUACAUGACCGUAGAACCUGGAGGACUGGCCUCGGCUGGGAAUCUGGGGGAUGUGCGACGUAUGCUUGGUGUUUCCGGGAAGGGGCGCAUGUUCAGACCACGCUAAAAAGGUCGGGUCCCUUCGGGGGCCUGUCCCAGUGGCUCUUGCUGUGUGCUUCUGACCUAUCAACUAGACGGCAGCCUAAUGGACAUGCUUUGGUGACAACGGGUACAGAGGAUUAGGGUUCGAUCCUGGAGAGUGGGCCUGAGAGAUU
rnacentral:rRNA from 1 species